ACCGUCUGCAAUGGUAGUAUAAGACCACUCGAUUACUUUGGUGAUGUAGAUCCAUGGACGGCUUGGGCAUACAAGCCUCGAAUGAUCUCGCUCUUGCUGACGGGAACAUGCCUUUUAAUUUGGGCAAGUGGUGCUCUCGAUCCAGAAAGGAGCUCAUCUGCUGAUCGUGUUUGGUCAGUCAAGAGGGGUGUAUUUGCGAUGAUUGCUGUUUUUUUGGCUUACUCUUUUCUUCAGGCACCUUCAACGUGAGUUACAGAACUCUUUUCCUGACUCUG